UCUUAUCGAUAGAAAAAGAUAUCGAUAACCUAUCGAAGGACUUUUUGAGUUGUGUCUUGUGUCGGUUGUAUCCGCGAUCGUUGUGUCUGUCUACUGGAAUUUUGUGAACUAGAACAUAAAAUAAAAGAAAGAAAUUAACAAAAUGUCAGUUCCAAUUGAUUAUAUUGAUUUAACGACUGACCUACCAGAUCAACCUUCAAAAUUACGAAAUAAGGAUGAAAUAUUUGUUAAUUUAACAAUAACAAAGUCACGAAAGCGUGGUUCGAAAAAACAAGUUGCACAACUUGAAGAUUCUAUCAUAGAAAUAACAGAUAAUAAUAGAUGUAAAGAUGUACAAACAAUGGAAAUCAUAGAUCUAGAUAAUAUCAAUAGUCCAAAAGAAACUGGAAUAUGUUAUGCUAAUGAUUCUGGAGAAGAAAAGUUAGUUGUAUUGACCUGUCCAAUAUGUUAUGAACAGUUGUCUUCUAAAAUGAAACCUAUGUCUACUCCUUGUGGACAUAUAUUUUGUACAAAAUGUAUAACUCUAGCUCUACGAGUACCUAAAGUUAAGAAGUGUCCAACAUGUCAAAGAAUUAUUAAAUUACAAUCUUGUACCCGUUUAUAUUUUUAAACAUAUAGAUUUUGGUUCUCAUAUUUAUGUACUUUUUAUAUUAGUACUAUCAUAAAUAUGUAAUUUGCCCUAAGUUUUGAGUAUUUUAAAGUGUAUUUUAUGAUAUUUCUGUAGUUAUAUAAAUUCCAAUACUUAAUCUCUAAUUAUGUAUAGCAUAUGCUGUUAUUUUUGUAUCUAUUCGUUAUAAUAAUUUAAGACUUAAUACACUUUUAAUUUAUAAGAAAAAGAAAUUAAAGCAUUUGAUGAAAUCUAAAAGUGUAUCUAUUUCAAUACAUCUUGAUUUAAAGGUCAUUCAUUGUUUACAUUUUGUUGUUACCUUGAAAUAUCUCCAACAUAUUUAACAUAACAUGAACUAUUUUAUAUCCUUUGUGUAUCUGGUUUUAUGAAAUUUAUUGACAUGAUUUGAUGUAUUCUCUCGAUUAGUAUAAUUAAAAUUUCAAAAUGUUUAAGACAAAGAAAAUACAAAAAGAAAAUCAUAUGUCAUUUUUCGUUGGAGGCACUGCAAUUGGAAUGGCUGCUGGUCUAUUAGCUGGAAGAUUAUUUUCAAAUACAUCAAUUAAAAAAAAUAAAAAAUUUGAACCUGAAAUUCUUAUCAACAAAAAUAUGAAAAAAUAUUCUCAGGAUGAUAAUAUUUAUGAUGUAUAUUUUAAUAAAAAUCAUCGUAAUAUACGUUCUAAAAGUGCUUCUCGAUACAAUGAGAAAAAUCACAUAGAGAAACCAGUGUCACCAAUUUCUUUAAAUAAAUUUGAUGAUAAAUUAAAAAAUGAUAUUAAUAAUAUUAAUUCAAGUUGCAAAUGCAACAAAAAUGAACAUAAAGUCUUUCAUGAUAACAAAAGUCAUACUCCAUAUAAUAUAAGUAUAGAAAAUAACAAUGAAUACAAUGCACUUACUGAUAUUUUUCCAGAAAACACAAAGGAAGAAACAAAGAACAAUAAUUAUUUUAAAUUAGAAAAUACUAAACAAGAAUCUUCAUAUGCUGUCCAAUCAGAAAAUAAUGUAAGUGUUAAAGAUGAAAAUUGUUUGAAAACAUUAAAUGUUGAAAAAGAAGCGUCAAAAGCUGCAAAAAUUUAUGAAAGUAUGCAGUUAACAGACAUAUUUAACAGUUUAUCUAUUAAUUUCUGUGAAAACAGUACUAUUUAUAAGAAUCUCCCAAAUAUAACAAAUUCUGGGAGUGGUUCAAAUAUUUCAUCAAGUUACACUGAUAAUGCCAGUAAUAUGGCUACAUAUGAUACUACAUAUUCCGAAAAUGCAGGACAAAGUAACAUUUUUAAUUUUUCUUCUAUUGAAGACUUUUAUGAAACUGACAUAAUCUCGUCUACAAAACAGAAUAAUUUCAAUGAUAUCUAAAAGUUUUUAAAUGUAAUAACUAGAGUGCAGAUUUUUAUGGGUUUUUAAAAAAUUUUUAAAGUACAAAAUUACAAAACAUGAUCAUAAUAUGAAAAAUAUAUAAACUGUCCAAAGUACAAUGUUUUCUAUAAUGCUCGGUAGAUAAAACAAUUGGCCACAGAGAUCCUUUAAUGUGAAAUAUCAAGUUAAGCCAUAUUAAUUCUUUAAAAUUCUUUAAAAAUCCGCAAUCUAGUAAUAACUAUUACAAAGUUAAGUUUUUAAACUAAUAACAAUAUUGUUAUUUAGUUGGAAUAUUUUCUUUUUUAUUACAUGUAUAUUGACAAAAAAAUAUUUUGUAUAAUGAGAGAAUAAAUAAAUGAUUUAAUACAA